AUAAUCUCAAUUACCAUUGCAAUAUUCUUAAACAUAUUACAGAAAAAAAUUCUCUUCUUCGUAGACUUGAAGAAAGUUGAGCUGUUCAGAUCUUUGGAUGAUACUUUUAUUCAACACUACACUAUAUAGUACAUAAUGCAAGUCAUACAGAACUACAGAAUAUGAAAAAUAUUAGCAACAACCUUUCUGAACAUGGAUUACUAGCAGCAAAUGACCCAAAAUAGGAAUCAGAAAGGGUAAACAAAUUCAUGGUGAAAUGUGGUGAAAAAAAAAUAAAUAUAUGAUUUAUUUCAUGGGGCAUCACCCAAAAGAACUUUAUAAAACCGUUUUCUUUCCUCAGGGUUGAACAAACCCCCUACAUCUCCAGUAUCAUCUUGUUCUGACACUUCAAUGCUAUUACCCUUCCUUUUCUCGGAUCUUACAGAAAUCAUUCCUUUCUUCUUCAUUUUUUCUAGAUUGAGUAAACGGUGCCUUUGAUUAUACUCAUGAAGUCCCUCCUGCAUUAAUUCCCCAAAUUUAUCCUUCACCAGAACAAGUGGAUCCUUGUCAAUCAAUUCUGCCCCAUUAUAUCCUUCUCUUAGAAGAACCGUAUAAAUCUGAUACUUAUUUGAGACGUAAAAGAUGCCAGGAUGCUUGAGCAGCAAAACAUUCAAUUUCUCUGGUAAACUGAACUCUCUUCUAAAAUGACCAAGUUUCACAAUUGAUACCUUCUUCCAUAAAGUCAGCGAGAGCAGCUCAUGUACUAAACCAAUAGUUCUUUUCUCCAUCUCUUUUGAACCUUCCAGUAAACCUCUUGGAUCCACGUAAGGUGAAAUAUAAGGAGUAGAAUUAAAUUCACAAAAUCUCUCCCAUGAUUUAACCCAAGUUGAAGGCAAUGUGCAUGCAAAACACGGCUCGCAACCCUGCUUUUGAGCUGAUGCUUCAAUUGCAGAAAUUGCAAAUUCUGGAUACCAUGAUACAAGCUCAAUCUCCAUUGAGCUCCUUCUCCCACUAUGGUUAAUAAGUCGAAACAUAUCAGGAUACUUUGGUAGAAUUCUAAUCAAAUAAUCAUCUGGAAAUCCAAAAUUUCUUUUCAGCUCAUUAAGUUUGACAACAUUAAGUCGUUGAUUCAUGCUCAUCAUCAACAAUUUAGCUAACCGCUCAACAUACACAGGUUCCUGCUUUUCUUUCACAUAUUCUUCCUCCUCCACCAAAAACAUCAUCGGCUUUGUUAAUCGACAAUAAUACUCAUCAUUCCCAAGAAACACUGAAAAGCAACAAGGGUACUUCUUAAGCCAAUUGAGAGCUUUUCCUUGAAGAUCAAGAGUCUUGAACUUCUUCUGGAGAUAAUUGACAGGUACCACCUGGUUUGGGUAUCUAAAUAUUAUGUUCUUGAUUUGAUUAUUGACUAUCCAUCUUCGGUUUCGUGAAAGGGCUGACUCAAGAUCAGGAUCCUUCUUCAUGGACCAAAGUGAGAAAUUUCGAAUAAGAUAAAUAGGUGAUGAUGUUGACUUCAACCUAUGAUUGCAAUGAUUAAGGUUCUGGAGAAACAUCCUCACAAUAUGGAAUUUGGCAUAUUCUUGCAUUUUUCAAAUUUGAGCCUGUGAAAAAAAAAUGUAAAGAAAUAAGAAUAGCAGAAAGAAUAUCAUAAUGAACUUUCAUUGCAUAAGAUGAGAAACACAAUGGAAAAUUCAGAUUCUCAGUUUUGUAAUAUUGAAGCAAUCACCAAUUCAUUAUUCUUUCAUAUCAAAUUAGAAUAUUAAUUUAAUAUGCUGCCUGCAUUUUCAACACAUCAGAACACAUCUUAACAUGAGCUAUCAAAUGACUGCAGACACCAAGCAUCACUUGACAAAUCACACACAGAUGUAGUAAUCAUCUUCUAAAAUCUAGUUAACUUGACAAAUCAGAGAGCAGUGAUGAUGUUAAAUUAGUGAUUGCUUCAAUAUCAAAAAGCAGAAUGAAAUCCCAUUUUUACAAGAGAGAGAACUGGGGAAUACUGAAGUAAUAUCUAUCAAAUUAGUAUCCAGUAGAACUGAGAAAUUACAAGUAAUACUAAAAUUUCAAACUAGCAAAAUAGUAUCCAACAAAUUCAAACAGAAACAGUAGAUAUCUUAGCUGAGACGAUAUUACCUUAGUUGAGACGAGAGGAAGAACUGAGUAAAUGUCAGACCCAGAUGCCAGCUAUUGCCAAAAGGAAUAAGCGAGGACUAUUAAUAGAGAAUCGAAACAAAGGAGAACAGAGAAUCCAGUUGAAGGGAAAGGUUGAUUUGAGUUCGAGGAACUGAAGGGAAGAAGAGAAUCCAAGAAGCUUCGGGGUUAAGGGAGGAGAUGAACCGAAGCGCGGCCGAAGGAAAUGGUGGGGAUGCUGCAGGCUGCGGCUGGGGAAAGAAACCGUAGUUUUGGGGUUUUACUUUUAUCUAGAAAUUAACAGUGAAAUGCGAAGUAGAAUUGCAAUUGAUUCGGAGGAUCUUCAAUGACAUUUCUGCCCUCAUCGUUUACCAUACCGUGCAGCAUGAUAUGGGGUGAAUGUGUAAAUUUCCUAUAUAAUGCCUGCUUACGAACGUUACCAGAUUGCUGCGAUUACAUGCCUGCAUUUGUACAGGGCCUCCUCUCCUCUUGCAUCUGUGGGCCUAUGUGUAAAUCUGCCACAGGCUUCUGCUACGUCUUUUGCUCUCUCCCUUUAGCGUGUUUGCCAGCGGCCUUUGAUCAAAAGGGCGUGGGCUCCCUAUAGUGUUUUCUCUUUUCUGUUUCUUCCCAUCUCCCUCUUCUUUGCGAAAUAGUAGGUGGAGAAUCUCAACAAUAGCAUAUGAAUAAAAUGGAAGCCAAUACUCAAAUUCUCAAUGGCAAUGAAAUAAAAUCCAUCAACAACACAAAUAAUUACAAAAUAAAUAGAAUCAAAAUUGAAACACACAUAAUCAAAACUCUCAAUCAAAUACAAAUAACAGAAGCGAAUCAAAUGUAGAAUCAAAACAAAAGGGGAAGACUUUAUAUUGCAGUAGGCGAAUAACCAUGAAAUAUUCAACACAUGCAAACCCAGAUUGCUAACUCAUGAAGGGGAGGCAAAUUUUCAAACCCAGACAGCACAUCUAAGAAACUUAUAUUCAAAUCCAGAUCACACUCACAGAGUAUUGGAGAAAGCAGUCAGAUUUUGGUUCAUCGUUGCCUAGCAGGCCCAUGUCAUAGGCGAGGCUUCGAGAACCAGAGGCGAAGGCUCUGAGAUGAAUGCCUUAUUUCAUUUCAUUGUUUUUGGGAGAACAUGAUAUAGGGCGAGAUGGAGGAGGAAGCAGAAGUAGGAAGUGAA
rnacentral:misc_RNA from 1 species